rnacentral:rRNA from 1 species
AUUGAACGCUGGCGGCAGGCCUAACACAUGCAAGUCGAGCGAGCGGCGGACGGGUGCGUACUGUCUGGGAAACUGCCUGAUGGAGGGGGAUAACUACUGGAAACGGUAGCUAAUACCGCAUACCAUCAGAUGUGCCCAGAUGGGAUGAGCUAGUAGGUGGGGUAACGGCUCAACUAGGCCACGAUCCCUAGCUGGUCUGAGAGGAUGACUAGCCAGACUGGAGCUGAGACACGGUUCAGACUCCUCCGGUAGGCAGCAGUGGGGAUUAUUGCACAAUGGGCGCAAGCCUGGUGCAGCCAUGCCGCGUGUGGGAAGAGGGCCUUCGGGUUGUAAAGCACUUUCAGCGGGGCGGCGUUACCCGCAGAAGAAGCACCGGCUCAGUCCGUGCCAGCAGCCGCGGUAAUAC